rnacentral:rRNA from 1 species
GACGAACGCUGGCGGCGUGCUUAACACAUGCAAGUCGAACGGAAAGGCCCCUUUGGGGGUACUCGAGUGGCGAACGGGUGAGUAACACGUGAGUAACCUGCCCUUGACUUCGGGAUAACUUCAGGAAACUGGGGCUAAUACCGGCUAGGAAUCCUUGCUGCAUGGUGGGGGUUGGAAAGCUUCGGCGGUUUUGGAUGGACUCGCGGCUUAUCAGCUUGUUGGUGGGGUAGUGGCUUACCAAGGCCUUGACGGGUAGCCGGCCUGAGAGGGCGAGCCGCCACAUUGGGACUGAGAUACGGCCCAGACUCCUACGGGAGGCAGCAGUGGGGAAUAUUGCACAAUGGGCGGCAGCCUGAUGCAGCAACGCCGCGUGCGGGAUGACAGCCUUCGGGUUGUAAACCGCUUUCAGCAGGAGCGAAGCUUGUGGUGACGGUACCUGCAGAAGUAGCACCGGCUAACUACGUG